AGAGUUUGAUCCUGGCUCAGGAUGAACGCUAGCUACAGGCUUAACACAUGCAAGUCGAGGGGAAACGGGCGUCAGGCUUGCCUGACGCAGUCGUCGACCGGCGAAUGGGUGAGUAACGCGUAUCCAACCUGCCCGCAAGCGGGGAAUAGGCUUUCGAAAGAAAGAUUAAUACCCCAUGUACUCCUCAGCAGUCAUCUAAAGAGGAGCAAAGAUUUAUCGCUUGCGGAUGGGGAUGCGUCUGAUUAGGCAGUUGGCGGGUUAACAGCCCACCAAACCGACGAUCAGUAGGGGUUCUGAGAGGAAGGUCCCCCACAUUGGAACUGAGACACGGUCCAAACUCCUACGGGAGGCAGCAGUGAGGAAUAUUGGUCAAUGGGCGAGAGCCUGAACCAGCCAAGUAGCGUGCAGGAUGACGGCCCUAUGGGUUGUAAACUGCUUUUGAAGGGGAGUAAAGUGAGUGACGAGUCACUCAUUGCAAGUACCCUUGGAAUAAGGACCGGCUAAUUCCGUGCCAGCAGCCGCGGUAAUACGGAAGGUCCGGGCGUUAUCCGGAUUUAUUGGGUUUAAAGGGAGCGUAGGCGGCCUUUCAAGCGUGUUGUGAAAUGCAGUGGCCCAACCACUGGAUUGCAGCGCGAACUGGGAGGCUUGAGAGCGCACGACGCAGGCGGAAUUUGUGGUGUAGCGGUGAAAUGCUUAGAUAUCACGAAGAACCCCGAUUGCGAAGGCAGCUUGCGGGAGCGCAUCUGACGCUGAAGCUCGAAAGUGCGGGAAUCAAACAGGAUUAGAUACCCUGGUAGUCCGCACGGUAAACGAUGGAUGCCCGUUCUGCGGCCUUAUGGUCGCGGGACCAAGCGAAAGCAUUAAGCAUCCCACCUGGGGAGUACGCCGGCAACGGUGAAACUCAAAGGAAUUGACGGGGGCCCG
rnacentral:rRNA from 1 species